GACGAACGCUGGCGGCGUGCUUAACACAUGCAAGUCGAGCGGUAAGGCCCUUUCGGGGUACACGAGCGGCGAACGGGUGAGUAACACGUGGGUGACCUGCCUUUAGCUCUGGGAUAAGCCUGGGAAACUGGGUCUAAUACCGGAUAUGACCCUAUGGCGCAUGUUGUGGGGUGGAAAGCCUUGUGCGGCUAGGGAUGGGCCCGCGGCCUAUCAGCUUGUUGGUGGGGUGAUGGCCUACCAAGGCGACGACGGGUAGCCGGCCUGAGAGGGCGACCGGCCACACUGGGACUGAGACACGGCCCAGACUCCUACGGGAGGGCAGCAGUGGGGAAUCUUGCGCAAUGGGCGGAAAGCCUGACGCAGCGACGCCGCGUGAGGGAUGACGGCCUCGGUUGUAA
rnacentral:rRNA from 1 species